rnacentral:rRNA from 1 species
ACGAACGCUGGCGGCGUGCUUAACACAUGCAAGUCGAACGGAAAGGCCCUGCUUUUGUGGGGUGCUCGAGUGGCGAACGGGUGAGUAACACGUGAGUAACCUGCCCUUGACUUUGGGAUAACUUCAGGAAACUGGGGCUAAUACCGGAAAGGAGCUCCUGCUGCAUGGUGGGGGUUGGAAAGUUUCGGCGGUUGGGGAUGGACUCGCGGCAUAUCAGCUUGUUGGUGGGGUAGUGGCUUACCAAGGCUUUGACGGGUAGCCGGCCUGAGAGGGUGACCGGCCACAUUGGGACUGAGAUACGGCCCAGACUCCUACGGGAGGCAGCAGUGGGGAAUAUUGCACAAUGGGCGGAAGCCUGAUGCAGCAACGCCGCGUGCGGGAUGACGGCCUUCGGGUUGUAAACCGCUUUCGCCUGUGACGAAGCGUGAGUGACGGUAAUGGGUAAAGAAGCACCGGCUAACUACGUG